GAUGAACGCUGGCGGCGUGCCUAAUACAUGCAAGUCGAGCGAACGGACGAGAAGCUUGCUUCUCUGAUGUUAGCGGCGGACGGGUGAGUAACACGUGGAUAACCUACCUAUAAGACUGGGAUAACUUCGGGAAACCGGAGCUAAUACCGGAUGAUAUUUUGAACCGCAUGGUUCAAAAGUGAAAGACGGUCUUGCUGUCACUUAUAGAUGGAUCCGCGCUGCAUUAGCUAGUUGGUAAGGUAACGGCUUACCAAGGCAACGAUGCAUAGCCGACCUGAGAGGAUGAUCGGCCACACUGGAACUGAGACACGGUCCAGACUCCUACGGGAGGCAGCAGUAGGGAAUCUUCCGCAAUGGGCGAAAGCCUGACGGAGCAACGCCACGUGAGUGAUGAAGGUCUUCGGAUCGUAAAACUCUGUUAUUAGGGAAGAACAUAUGUGUAAGUAACUGUGCACAUCUUGACGGUACCUAAUCAGAAAGCCACGGCUAACUACGUG
rnacentral:rRNA from 1 species